AUUCCUUGUCGGGUAAGUUCCGACCUGCACGAAUGGAGUAAUGAUGGCCACACUGUCUCCUCCAGAGACUCAGCGAAGUUGAAAUGUUUGUGAUGAUGCAAUCUCCCCGCGGAAAGACGGAAAGACCCCAUGAACCUUUACUGUAGCUUUACAUUGGACUUUGAACAGAUCUGUGUAGGAUAGGUGGGAGGCUUUGAAGUAAGGUCGCUAGAUCUUAUGGAGCCGACGUUGAAAUACCACCCUGGUGUGUUUGAGGUUCUAACCUUGGCCCGUGAUCCGGGUUGGGGACAGUGUAUGGUGGGCAGUUUGACUGGGGCGGUCUCCUCCCAAAGCGUAACGGAGGAGUUCGAAGGUACGCUAGUUACGGUCGGAAAUCGUGACGAUAGUGCAUUGGCAUAAGCGUGCUUGACUGCGAGACUGACAAGUCGAGCAGGUACGAAAGUAGGACAAAGUGAUCCGGUGGUUCUGUAUGGAAGGGCCAUCGCUCAACGGAUAAAAGGUACUCUGGGGAUAACAGGCUGAUACCGCCCAAGAGUUCAUAUCGACGGCGGUGUUUGGCACCUCGAUGUCGGCUCAUCACAUCCUGGGGCUGAAGUCGGUCCCAAGGGUAUGGCUGUUCGCCAUUUAAAGUGGUACGCGAGCUGGGUUUAGAACGUCGUGAGACAGUUCGGUCCCUAUC
rnacentral:rRNA from 1 species